ACUGUAAUGUAGCCUGUAGGGGCUAAAGCCCUUGUAGACAGUCACAAGCCUGUAAAAUACAGAGUGAGU
rnacentral:ribozyme from 2 species